GUGGCCUCGGAGUGGGUCCUCUGGGUCCACCUCCCACCCGUGUCUAUCGUACCUUGUUGCUUCGGCGGGCCCGCCGUUUCGACGGCCGCCGGGGAGGCCUUGCGCCCCCGGGCCCGCGCCCGCCGAAGACCCCAACAUGAACGCUGUUCUGAAAGUAUGCAGUCUGAGUUGAUUAUCGUAAUCAGUUAAAACUUUCAACAACGGAUCUCUUGGUUCCGGCAUCGAUGAAGAACGCAGCGAAAUGCGAUAAGUAAUGUGAAUUGCAGAAUUCAGUGAAUCAUCGAGUCUUUGAACGCACAUUGCGCCCCCUGGUAUUCCGGGGGGCAUGCCUGUCCGAGCGUCAUUGCUGCCCUCAAGCACGGCUUGUGUGUUGGGCCCCCGUCCCCCUCUCCCGGGGGACGGGCCCGAAAGGCAGCGGCGGCACCGCGUCCGGUCCUCGAGCGUAUGGGGCUUUGUCACCUGCUCUGUAGGCCCGGCCGGCGCCAGCCGACACCCAACUUUAUUUUUCUAAGGUUGACCUCGGAUCAGGUAGGGAUACCCGCUGAACUUAAGCAUAUCAAUAAGCGGAGAGA
rnacentral:rRNA from 1 species